GCGCACGUGCCCUUCCUAACACACAGCCCAGCCGGCCCCCCGCUUCCGGGGAGCAGGCAGACCCUCGACUCCCAUCACUGGAGCCGGCCCAGAACCUUCCUACCAACCAGAGCCCGGGAGUCUCCACGUGCCCGGCCUGGGUGUUUCCGUUUGAACGGCGGUGUCAUUUGCUUAGAGACGGGACUCGGACUCACAUCCAUCCGACACGGAGGCUGCGCCUCCAGCCGAUGGCGAAGCCCCUGUGUGUCUGUCAUGGAGCAGAGCCUGCCGGCUGCAGGAAGGACCACUGGCCUCUUUCUACACCACGAGCUGCUGAUGAACGGCUUGGACUUUCUCACUUGCUUACAUCUCGUCUUCAGCAGAAAAUUUCAUUGCCAAAAACUAUGUUAAAUUUCUCAAGCCUGAGCCCACGCCAGGGACCCCAGGACCCCGGAAUUCAGGAUUCUCAUGAAGGGGCCCUAAAAAGUGACAUAACGCGCAGGACGCCUGGCUUGUUUAUGACAGCGACUUUCCACGCUCCCCCUCGUGUGUCUGGCUAAGAUGAUAUCAGAAUUCAAAGACUCGGGAGAGCAGAAGCUGUAAAAAAUAAUCUUCUAUUAAGCCCCACGCUGCCCCAAAUGCAGUGGCAUUUGGAAGACGAGACCAACGCCGUUCCUUUGGAGAUAGCAGCUAUUUUCCAAUUGUACUGAUAAAAAAGGAAGACAUGAAGUAAAGUGACAUUUACGUGCUAGGAG
ensembl:lncRNA